rnacentral:lncRNA from 1 species
GUUAAAGGGAAUGGGUCUCGGAAGCCGAGGGUCUGAAGUUCAAGACUCCUAGAAGGGGAGGGGAAUGAAAGCCACUCAGUGAAGAAGGUAAAACAAAUACAGUCUAUCUCUGACUUACAAUGGUUCGCCCUAAGAUUUUUGGACUUCAUGAUGGUGUGAAAGCAAUAUGAAUUCAGUAGAAACCGAACUUCAAAUUUUUGAAUUUUCCUCUGUUCCCAAGCUAGGGAUGUACUAUUGGAUACGCUCGGAUACCCUCUUGUAUGCUGGACAGUGGCAGCAAGCAGCUCCCAGUCGGCCAUGCAAUCAGGAGGGUAAACAAUGGACACACUUCCAAUUAUUCCGGACCCAGACGACCAUUCCUCUUUCACCUUCAGUACAGUAUUUGAUGAAUUGCAUGAGAUAUCGAACACUUCAUUAUAAAAUAGGCUUUGUGGGAGUUCCCGUCAUGGCGCAGUGGUUAAUGAAUCCGACUAGGAACCAUGAGGUUGCGGGUUUGGUCCCUGUCCUUGCUCAGUGGGUUGAGGAUCCGGCGUUGUCGUGAGCUGUGGUGUAGGUUGCAGAUGCAGCUCGGAUCCUGCAUUGCUGUGGCUGUGGCAUAGGCCGGUGGCUGCAGCUCUGAUUCGACCCCUGGCCUGGGAACCUCCAUAUGCCGCUGGAUUGGCUCAAGAAAUAGCAAAAAGACAAAAAAAAAAAAAAAAANAAA